AGACUAACCUGGCAGAGGUGAUUCCACCUAGAAGAUGGUUUCUCUAGGGUGAGGCUUAUCCAUUGCACUCCAGAAGGGUUUACCUCUGUCACUUCCCCAAAUACUUUCUUUCUGGGCCUCAGUGACCUCCAGAGAUUUCAGGUGAAGAAUAUAUCCUACCUAGAGCUACAGACUUCUUG
rnacentral:snRNA from 1 species